rfam:Gossypium arboreum cultivar AKA8401 contig_7131_7, whole genome shotgun sequence.
CACUCUGAUGAUGUUUUUCGUUCUCCUGAGCUAAUAUAUGCUGAAAAUUUAUGGAGACCUGAACUGAAAGAGUU